rnacentral:rRNA from 1 species
UAGAUGAUUGAUGAUGACAAAUAUCUAUUCACAUAUCUUGACCAAUGCUUGUGCCAGCAGUCGCGGCAACACAAGUAAGAUUAGUGUUAUUCAUCUUUAUUAGGUUUAAAGGGUACCUAGACGGCAAAAGCAACUUCUAAAAAGUAUAUCUUUGCUAGAGUUUUAUGUGAGAGGUAAAUAUUAGGAUUAUCGGUGUAGAGUUGAAAUUCCUUGAUACUGAUAGGAUGUGUAACGGCGAAGACAACCCUCUAUGUAUAAACUGACGUUGAGGGACGAAGGCUUGGGGAGCAAACAGGAUUAGAUACCCUAGUAGUCCAGGCAGAAAAUUAUGAAUGUUAUAUGUUAGAUUAAAUCUUGAUGUAUAAAUGAAAGUGUAAGCAUUCCNCCUCAAGAGUAAUGCGGCAACGCAGGAACUGAAAUCAUUAGACCGUUUCUGAAACCAGUAGUGAAGUAUGUUUUUUAAUUCGAUGACCCUCGAAAAACCUUACCACAAUUUGAAUGGUAUUUAAAUAGCUAUUAUUUUUUUUUUACACUAAUAGUUACUUAGAUAUAACAAGCGUUGCACGGCUGUCUAAAGCUAAUGUCGUGAGAUUUUGGUUAGAUCCAUUAAAUUAGCGUAAUCCCUUGCUUUAUUUACCAGUAAUAUUUACUUAGAUCUGAAAGGUUUCACCUUUGCCAGAUAAAUUUAAUUAUUUACCAAAAAUAAGGAUAGUGCUCGGU